GGGGAGAGGAGAGGAAAAAAAUUCAAAACAUAAAAAAAUAACACAAAAAUCGUUUUUUUCUUUUUGUAACAAUGGUGAAGCUGGAGUAGACACUCGAGGACUGGACGGUAACGUAUAAGAAAGGGCUGCCUAACGUUAAAGACGAACGACAAAUUUUUUUCCCCCAGUCGACGUGUUACUGGUCCAGAAGCGAAGCUAAGUAACGUUUAUUUGCUUUUAUCGUCGUGUCAAAUUUGAAUGACAGUUUUAAUAACAGUACAAGUCGACAUUGUGCCAUUUUAACUUGCUCAUCUUAUAAUUUUUACUUAAAAACCCUUCAACUGACAAGCCAACGGUUGUUAACGUUUACCAUCAGCAUUCUGCCCCGAACUGACGUGACGUUAGCGACCGUGAGAGAACCAAGCGUUUGUGGCGGCUGUUCCCCGUGGUGGAGCGACGAGCCGUCCGACCGGCACUAGGCGCAGGUGGAGGAGGUGGAGCAGCGGCAGGAGGAGAGGAGAUGCCGGCCGUUGGUGAAGAAGACACAGCGGUGGUUGCAGGAGAGGUGACGCCAGCCGCAGGUUGAGGAGACACAGCGGAGACUGCGGGAGUGCUGCCGCCGGCCGCAAGUGGAGGUGGAGUAGCAUAAACGCCAUGAGCAUCCGUGUCAUGACAGAUGACACCGGAAAGUCUCGAGGCUUCGGGUUUGUCAGCUUUGAGAGGCACGAGGACGCCCAGAAGGUUUAAUACUCCCAUUCUGGAUCGGGUUGCAGCUGAGGAACUGGAACGUCCUAUCACAGCAGUUGAACUUGAGGCGGCAGUUAAAUCGUUACAAUGUGGUAAAA